rnacentral:rRNA from 1 species
GUAGGUGGCAAGCGUUGUCCGGAAUUAUUGGGCGUAAAGCGCGCGCAGGCGGUCCUUUAAGUCUGAUGUGAAAGCCCACGGGCUCAACCGUGGAGGGUCAUUGGAAACUGGGGGACUUGAGUACAGAAGAGGAAAGCGGAAUUCCACGUGUAGCGGUGAAAUGCGUAGAGAUGUGGAGGAACACCAGUGGCGGAGGCGGCUUUCUGGUCUGUAACUGACGCUGAGGCGCGAAAGCGUGGGGAGCAAACAGGAUUAGAUACCCUGGUAGUCCACGCCGUAAACGAUGAGUGCUAAGUGUUAGGGGGUUUCCGCCCCUUAGUGCUGCAGCUAACGCAUUAAGCACUCCGCCUGGGGAGUACGGCCGCAAAGGCUG